UAAAAGUGUAUUUUUUUCUUUGUCUAGUAAAUUCGUUAUUAUAUAUUCUAUAAAAUAACUAGAAAUUAAUAGAUGUAAUUGUAUUUUUAAACAGUAAUUUUUUUUUAUUUGGCUGCUAGCUAUGAGAGAAGGCAGAAGUAGUGUAGAAAAGAUAGUAUAGAAAAAAUGCACUUUUAUGAAAUAAAUAUUUAAAACGUAUUAAUUAUAUUAAUUUUAUUAUGUUAAAAAAUCGUAUGUCAUUAAAAAAAAUUUUUUUAUUCAAGAAAAAAAGUUGCUCAUCGAGACUUAAAUCCAUAAUGUCAAAAUUACGCGCUUCUUGCUGAAAGGUUCUCUUCUUUGGGUUGAUAUUGCGCUCGUAAUUUUUACUUGCGAUUUUCUUCGAACGGUUUCUUCUUUUGAACGGUUGAGUAUUGCUGAUUAUCUUUUUACUCAGUAAUACUUGACAUGAUAAUAUAUCGAUAGAAUAAGUUUCAUCCAAAUCGAUUAUCACACUCCAGUGUCUCCUUGUAAGGCUUCAUUUGGAAGCAGUCAACGAUUUGACGGCGGAUGCAUUUAUCGGCGCUUUGCAGCGUUUCGUGAAAAGAUCAGGUCACCCACAAAAGAUAUACAGAGACGACACAACUAAUUUUACAAACCGCUAACGAAUUUACCGGAUGUUGAUUUAACCAAUGUUCCUGACAAUAGAUUAAAAAGAUGGCAGUUAUCUCACAGCAUUUCUGGAAGCGAUGGAGCGUCGAGUACUUGACGUCAUUGCAAGGCAAGUGCAAAUGGACGAAACAACAAAGAAGAAAUUUGAAGAAAGAUGAUUUAGUUUUAAUUGUAAACAAAAAUGCGCCACCCUUGUAAUGGCAAAUUGGAAGAGUAAUCGAGCUUCAUCCAGGUACCGACGACGUAAUGCGAAUCGUAAGCGUAAAAACAGCCAACAAUAUUGUAAAACGAGCAAUCAUAAAAUUAUGCAAAUUAUCUAUCAAUGAGGCGAGAGACACUAAUAGAAAAAAUUAAUCAACAAUUAAUUGAUAAGCAGAAUAUAGGGAAGAAAAUCAAUCGAUUAUAUUCUCGACUUUAGUCGAAGAAAGUUAAAUCGAAUACUGACUUACAAACUAAAAAAGUUAGAGAACAAGAUCACUUCUCAAUCGGUCCUCAAGUCGUUCGCAUCUUUGAAAAACCUCCACUAACCUCGUAAUCAAUAAUUGUUAUAAUAAUUAACAAAUUAAAAUGAUUAAAUUGCAUAGAA